rnacentral:lncRNA from 1 species
AGAGUAGAAAUAAAUUAUGAAUAAAACCAUGUUCUUCUCCAUCCAUUUUCCUGUCUGUUAAAACCAUUUUCUAAUACAGGCCAUUUGGUGUUAUUGUCUGUAGGUUCUGGAUCCACUCCCGUGCUGCCCACAGGUCCAGAGGCCCACAGGUCCAGCCUAUAUGUGACUGUAACCCUGAUAUGGUAAGGUUCUGGAUCCACUCCCGUGCUGCCCACAGGUCCAGAGGCCCACAGGUCCAGCCUAUAUGUGACUGUAACCCUGAUAUGGUAAGGUAGUGAUGGGGUGCUCCUGGAAGUGGGUUAUGAGUAAAUUGUAGG